rnacentral:rRNA from 1 species
UAGUGGCGGACGGGUGAGUAACGUGUGGGCAACCUGCCCUGUACUGGGGAAUAAUCAUUGGAAACGAUGACUAAUACCGCAUGUGGUCCUCGGAAGGCAUCUUCUGAGGAAGAAAGGAUUUAUUCGGUACAGGAUGGGCCCGCAUCUGAUUAGCUAGUUGGUGAGAUAACAGCCCACCAAGGCGACGAUCAGUAGCCGACCUGAGAGGGUGAUCGGCCACAUUGGGACUGAGACACGGCCCAAACUCCUACGGGAGGCAGCAGUGGGGAAUAUUGCACAAUGGGCGAAAGCCUGAUGCAGCAACGCCGCGUGGAGGAUGAAGGGUUUCGGCUCGUAAACUUCUAUCAAUAGGGAAGAAACAAAUGACGGUACCUAAAUAAGAAGCCCCGGCUAACUACGUGCCAGCAGCCGCGGUAAUACGUAGGGGGCAAGCGUUAUCCGGAAUUACUGGGUGUAAAGGGAGCGUAGGCGGCAUGGUAAGCCAGAUGUGAAAGCCUUGGGCUUAACCCGAGGAUUGCAUUUGGAACUAUCAAGCUAGAGUACAGGAGAGGAAAGCGGAAUUCCUAGUGUAGCGGUGAAAUGCGUAGAUAUUAGGAAGAACACCAGUGGCGAAGGCGGCUUUCUGGACUGA